rnacentral:rRNA from 1 species
AUGAUCGCCGAGCUUGCCCUCGCCAGCGAUGUGGCCGACUAUGUUCGCUUCCGCGCCGUGUGCCAACCAUGGCGGCGGUGCUCGCCAGACCCGCGCGCCGGCGGCCUGGACGGUCGCUUCCUCCCCCGCCAGUGGAUCAUGCUCGACAAAUCCUUUGCCGGGCCACGCCGCCAUCGUUUCCUCAACGUGUCUACCGGCGAGUGCAUCCGGAUGGACCUCCCGGAGCUUGCCGGGCACACGUUGCUCGCGCUCACCCCCGAGGGCCUCCUGCUGCUGCUCCACGAGCCCAGCCUGGUCGUCCGCCUGCUUAACCCUCUCACACACCAGCUCACCGAUCUCCCCCCGAUGACCGCGCUCCUGACACCAGAGCAGCAUCGAUCUUGGAGCUGUGGCUUUGAGAUGGGAAAAUUAAUCAGUGUGUCUGGCGUGGGCCUUGUUGCCGAAGCCUCCACGGUGGCAGUCAGUUUCUUUAAUCAGGGGUUUGUCGUCGCUAAACCCGACGAUGUGAGUUGGACCGUGGUCGGCAAUGGAUCCAUGAGUUCGUGUAUGCCUUUUGCCGGACGCUUCUACUGCGCCAACUACAGGGGCGUCAUGCUGCUGACGACCAGCUCGGAUCAGCAGCCGCCACGGCUUCAUAUGGUCGUUGACCGGAGCAAGUCGUGUGAUCUCUUCCAAAUGAUGCGCACCCACCACCAGCUGGUGGACAAUGGUGGGGAGUUGAUGCUGGUGCUCCGGACCCCCCUAUACCAGUACAGCGGCUAUGAAAGGAGGUAUGAUGUUUACAGGGUGGAUUUGGAAGCUGGGGUCCUGGUCCCGAUCAAGGGCUUCAACGGGCGUGCCGUGUUCAUGGGGAUCGGUCGCGCGAUUUCCGUAUCAGCCGAGACCCCCUUUUCAUCUGUUGCUGCUGAUACAAUCUACCUGGGACACGAUUGUGAUGGUCACAUUCAGGGGUACAAUAUUGCGGAUGGAAGCACAUGUAGUCUCGAACUUGAUGAGUUGGUAUGUCCGCCUAGUGUUGUGGAUUGUCUUCGCGUCUGCAUCCAGGGGGUCGGCAGAUGGCUUGCUUGA